CGGAUCUGCCCCGCCAAGAGCCCCGCCCCGCGCGAACCCUUCGUCGCCGAAUCUGCCCCGCCAAGGCUAGCCAGCCCUGACCCAAGUCCACCCUCUGCACGGGUACCGUAGCCGGAGUCCGGCCCCCGCGGCAGCCCUCGCCGGCCGAUUCUAGCGUGAUGGCUCCCCGCCUGGAAUACUCCCGUCAGCAACCUCCCCGGCUACCUCGCGCAGCGCCCCGGCCGUACUCCUUCCCGCCGCAGCGCCAGGUCUCUUCCUCAUCGCUGCAGCGUCAUCACCCAAAUGUCGCCCAUCGUCAUCGAUUAGAUGAGCGCAUCCCCCUUGCUAGUUGCCAGCGUGGUUUGAUUGGGGAGUUCUUGACAUUUUUUCUUUGCAUCUGUGGAUCAGGUAAAAUGGAUUACGACCAGUGGAGGAGCUCAGCUGAAGCUCGCCGCAGUAAAAAGUUAUGGCAUUCAUUUGAUCAUGUGAUCAUGUGUAAUGAUCAUCUGGUGCUGAGCCACUAAGUAUUGAGCGCACAAAUGUAGUCAAUGUUUCCCUUACUAGGAGCAAUCCUUCUACUUGCCCUAUUGGCUGAAAGGAAUCUCAAGAUGAUGAUUGCCAUAAAGUGUUCAUGGAUGAAUUUGAUCAUAACUGUUUUUCAGAAGGUACUGCUACACUGUUGUUAAGGUAAGGUUGCUGAAUUGUUUAUGAGGGCAGUCUCCAAAGAUUCAAUUUUGUGAACUGUGUAAUCUUGGUAUGUAUCACGUAUGUGAAUCAAUUCUAACGGCAGCAAAAAAGUAAUCACUAUGGUCAAUAUAACUAUUAUAUAUGUAGAUAAAUUAACAUUAGUCUAUAUGUGCAUGUGCACAUGCACCAUUGCUAGUAGAAAGCAAACUGAAGCGUUACAAAAAUUCAGAGAUGGUCUCCACCACCAGAAGAUGUUCUGAAGAUCAACACAUAUGGCUCGUUCAGAGAGGCGUCACACACAUGAGGAUUGGGCUUUACAAUCCAUACUGAUUGUGGACUGUUGAUGGCCACUGGAGUAGGCAAGUGGCAACCUGGAGUGAGUUGCUGAUCCUCUUCAAGCUGAAGCUCAAGCCAUGCUCCAGGCAGCGAUCACCGCCUCUCAAAUGGGCUGACAAUGUGUUUUAGAUUAUGAUCCGUCUCCCCCUGGAGUCAUCUUAGAAAACUAAAUUUCAUUUGUGACUUGGUUUCGAUAAUGUGAAAAUUGUGAACUGCCCAGGCGCGCCAGGUGAUCCUGUUUUGAUUUAAUAUUAUUUUCUUGGUUUCAUAUUCGACGGUUAUGACCAUGUGCGCCCUGUUUUGCUGAUUUUGCUCUUUUAACCGGGAGGCUAGAAGGAUAAGAUUGAGAAAAAGGAGCAUGAGUUACAGCAACUGGAUUGCUAAUUAUCUUGAUUUGAGAAGAAAUAGAAGUGCCCAGGAGGUUCCCUGUGGUGUUUUGUACCUUGUCUUUUUCGCUGCCAUUUUUUUCAGAAUAAGGUAAUUAUCUUGAUUUAAGAAGAAAUAUAAUUGUGCCCAGGAGGUUGCCAGUGGUGUUUUGUAUCUUGUCUUUUUUGCUGCCAUUUUUGUUCAGUAUAAGGUGUAAUCGAUCUGUGUAAUGUGUGUUGCCAGUUUGACAUGUAACUGUCUCAAUCCAAUGAGAAAUUUCAUGCAGUAAAAAAAGGAAAUUUCAUGCAGUGUGAUGUUCUCAACUUGUGUGCAUACUUUCUUCUUUUCUGCAGGAGAGGCUGCAGGAGAGGCUCUAUAAAAAUGGUACAUUGUGUUCCUGAUGCUAUUCUUUCUUCUUUUCUGCAGGAGAGGCUGGCAUUUGACAAUACGGUUAUGUGUGUGCAUUGACUGCUGGUGCUGCAGCCUGUAAUUUUUCUUGUGGAGUGGACCGAAGUAAUCCAGCAAGCUAGCUGCAUUAUUGAUUCUGUUCCUUUUGCUGGCGAGGAGGGGCAUUCUUCCUCGGGCGUCCACGUUUACGCUUUGGGGCACCGGAUGUGUCUGCUUUCUUUGUAACAUCAGGGUCGGUGAUAAUCGUGACGUCGUCGUCUUCACCUUUUCGUUCCUCUGGAAUGCUGGCUUCGUACUCGUCCCUCUAUAGAGGAAAUAGUGGUGAUCAUGAAAGGUAGGAACUACAUGACAUGAAAUGCUAGUUCUGUAGAACUUACCGUUAUAGGAUUCUUGUAUGAUUUUUUCCGAAGCUUGUUGCAAUCCGAACGCAGCAGUUUUGUACAUAUUUUCCAGCUGAAAAUAUGUAUUUCUGCCUGAAUUAGAUAGCGACGCAUAGGUUAGGAUAGGGGUGAAGCAUAGGUAGUGCAUGAUUGCAAAUGUAAUUUAGUGUUUGGCAGACCUGUGUGAAAUCCUCGGUAAUUUUAUCUCCGUCCCAUGUCAACAUGUAUUUGAGUGUGUAUGCCCCACAGGAAUAAUUGUGAUGUAAAGUUGAAGUUAAGUAUUGUAGUGUAGGUGAGGAAUCAUGUAGCUGCCUAUACGUACCCAUCCGUUUGUUGUGGUAUGUUAGUAUAGCAAGUGGUUUUCCACUGGGUAAUAUUGAUGGGUUUAGGCGGUGUUACCAAGCCAUCCUCGACCGCUUCGUUGAUAUAUGCCUGAAUGGACUCCACCUGGUGUACGAGGAGUAAUUCAAGGGAUUCAUUAGUGCUUUUAAAAAAGUCUCACAUGAUGGUAAGAGGCAGCAAGAGAGCAAGCUUACCAGUGCAGUUUCCUUGGCAAUGUCACAAUAUGCUUGGUUGGAGUUUAGGACCUGGAUCUCUUCUUUGUCUAAAUUAAACACGAGUAAUAACCAGUGCAUGAUGUGCACAUUCAUUGGGACACGUACCUGGCAGAAAAUUAAAGCGGACUCAAUUUAGGGAAAAUCAAGAUAUACAAUUAAACAAGCCAGGAAAUAUGCAUACCAUUUUGCGUCCUACAAAUUUCGUUGCUACAUUAGCAACAUCUGGGCUUUUGCAUCCCAUUGGAAUACCCCCAAAUUCGCCUAGCAAUCUUCUGCUUUCUACGGUGGAAAUGAAUGAUGUAGCAUCAGUUGCAACAUUGCUAAUGUGUGCAUAUGCAUUAAUAACCUACAAAAUUUGUAGUCAUGUAAUAUGGCACAAUUUAGAGUACUUGAUGUAGAUUGCAGUAUACGGGCCUUACGUCAUCGACGAAGAAUAGUUUCCUAACAUUUGGCUUGAGUUGAUGAACUGUUAGCACAAUGUCUUCGAUGUGAACUACCUCAACAAGGUCGUUGAGGGAGUCCUGGA